GUCCCAGGCUCGGGAUACUCAGGUGUUCAUUCAGUGAUCAGGACAGAAUACAGACAACUCACCAUGGAAUUUCUGCUUGGCUGGGUUUUCCUUGUUGCUCUUUUAAAAGGUGUCCAGAGUGAGGUGCAGCUGGUGGAGUCUGGGGGAGACCUGGUGAAGCCUGGGGGGUCCCUGAGACUCUCUUGUGCAGCCUCUGGAUUCACCUUCAGUAGCUAUGCCAUGCACUGGGUCCGCCAGGCUGCGGGGAAGAGGCUGCAGUGGGUCGCAGUUAUUAGCAGUGAUGGAAGUAACACAUACUAUGCAGACUCUGUGAAGGGCCGAUUCACCAUCUCCAGAGACAAUGGCAAGAACACGCUGUAUCUGCAGAUGAACAGCCUGAGAGCCGAGGACACAGCCGUGUAUUAUUGUGUGAAGGACACAAUGAAGGGCCUUCAGUGUGUCCAGUGUGAAGUACAGCUGGUGGAGUCUGGGGGAGAACUGGCGAAGCCUGGUGGGUCCCUGAGACUCUCCUGUGCAGCCUCUGUAUUCACCUUCAGUAGUAAUGCCUUGAGAUGGGUCUUCCAGGCUCCAGGGAAGGGGCUGCAGUGGGUCUCACAUAUUAGCAGUGAUGGAAGUAGCACAAGCUAUGGAGACUCUGUGAAGGGCCAACUCACCAGCUACAGAGAUGACACCAAGAACAUGCUGUAUCUGCAGAAGAACAGCCUGAAAACACUGUGUGAAUGA